CAGUCGCCACGGUAAUACGGAGGGGGCUAGCGUUGUUCGGAAUUACUGGGCGUAAAGCGCACGUAGGCGGCUUUGUAAGUCAGAGGUGAAAGCCCGGGGCUCAACCCCGGAAUUGCCUUUGAGACUGCAUCGCUUGAAUCCAGGAGAGGUGAGUGGAAUUCCGAGUGUAGAGGUGAAAUUCGUAGAUAUUCGGAAGAACACCAGUGGCGAAGGCGGCUCACUGGACUGGUAUUGACGCUGAGGUGCGAAAGCGUGGGGAGCAAACAGGAUUAGAUACCCCCGUAGUCCCUGUCUCUUAUAC
rnacentral:rRNA from 1 species